AAAAAGACAAACCGUGAGUUCCCGUGCCAACGUUUGACUGUCCGUCUUAUAUGAAAUUUUUUUAUAAUUAGUAUUUUUAUUGUUAGAUGAUAAAACAUGAUUAAUACUUUAUGUGUGACUUAUUUUUUUAUUUUUUUCCAUAAUUUUUUU
rnacentral:pre_miRNA from 1 species